GACUUCCCGUAUGAAUCAAAUGAUCCACACAUGCAUUUCCUUCCUGUUUUCCAUUCACUUGCUGUUCUUGUACAUUUUCGCCCCUUGAUAUGACGUUCUUUUCGUCAUAAGGCUUCUCUGCCUCGGACGAAGAAAAAAACUCACCGACCCGGCAGACCCGCCAUUUUGAAAAUUGGCCUCAGCGGUCUUCAAAUAUUGGUAUAUGUGUUACGUAGUAGGUCAUAAAUUGUCGUAAGUCUUUAAAGCCUGACGUCAGUGUCCAUAUCUCCUAUUUUCUAAGGUGCUGAGAAGGAGAAUUUGUUAAACAAUCCAGACCUUCUAUAGUUGUUGAUCAUUAUAUAUUUUUCUUGUGACCCUAACAUGCGAUUCAUGGGUGAUAAUGUGAGGAAAAGUUAGAUGUAGAUGUUCGUCUGCAGACUGAUCAAAGUGAGAGGGAGGCGAAGCAGGGCUUUUUCAAUGCAGCUUAAUCUGUACACCCUAACAUCAGUACCAGAAAGGGGUCAGUUGAUUUUAAGGGUGCUGUCCCUGCUGAAGAGAGGUCACUGAUGAGGAAAGCUUCCACAAAG